AGUCACUGACAUUAGAUACCCCCGUAGUCCAGGGUGUAAACGCUGCAGACUUGGUGUUGGAGGCCCUUUGGGGGCAUUCAGUGCCGGAGAGAAGUUGUUAAGUCUGCUACUUGGGGAGUACGUCCGCAAGGAUGAAACUUAAAGGAAUUAGCGGGGGAGCACCGCAACGGGAGGAGCGUGCGGUUUAAUUGGAUUCAACACCGUAAAACUCACCAGGGAAGACUGUUACAUGAAGGCCGAGAUGAAGACUCUGCUAGAUUUUCAG
rnacentral:rRNA from 1 species